rnacentral:rRNA from 1 species
AUCUAGACGAACGGCAUGGGAAGGCCGGCGAGACAGUGUGAGAGCCACGUAGUCGAAAGAGAAGACUGACAGUCUGGAUCCAGAGUACCGCAGGACACGAGGAACCCUGUGGGAAGUCGGGGGGACCACCCUCCAAGCCUAAAUACUACCUGAUGACCGAUAGAGGAGAAGUACCGUGAGGGAAAGGUGAAAAGAACCCCGGGAGGGGAGUGAAAUAGUACCUGAAACCUUGUGCUUACAAGCAGUUACAGCCCGUUAAAGGGUGGUAGCGUACUUUUUGUAGAACGGUCCGGCGAGUUAUAGUCACUAGCGAGCUUAAGACAUUCAGUGUUGGAGGCGUAGGGAAACCGAGUCUGAACAGGGCGAAUGAAGUUAGUGGCCAUAGACCCGAAACCAUGUGACCUAGCCAUGAGCAGGAUGAAGUGGAGGUAAAGCUCCAUGGAGGUCCGAACGCACGUUCGUUGCAAUGACCGGCGAUGACUUGUGGCUAGCGGUGAAAUUCCAAUCGAACUUGGAGAUAGCUGGUUCUCCCCGAAAUAGCUUUAGGGCUAGCGUUGGGAAUGAGUUUAGCGGAGGUAAAGCACUGAAUGAGCUAGGGGGCGCAAGCUUACUGAACUCUAUCAAACUAAGAAUGCCGCAUAAAUGCUUCCCAGCAGUCAGACUGCGAGUAAUAAAAUCCGUGGUCAAAAGGGUAACAGCCCAGACCCACAGCUAAGGUCCCCAAUACAUGCUAAGUGGAAAACGAUGUGAGAUUGCAUAAACAACCAGGAUGUUGGCUUAGAGGCAGCCACUCGUUCAAAGAGUGCGUAAUAGCUCACUGGUCGAGUGAUCUUGCGCGGAAAAUUUAACGGGGCUAAGCAUGUAACCGAAGCUUGGGAUUGCGCAAUGCGCAGUGGUAGGGGAGCGUCGUGUACGGGGUGAAGUACGAUCGAGAGGACGUGUGGACUGUACACGAGUGAGAAUGCCGGAAUGAGUAGCGAGAAUUAUGUGGGAAUCAUAAUGGCCGAAAAUCUAAGGUUUCUUGGGGAAGGUUCGUCCGCCCAAGGUAAGCCGGGAGCUAAGGCGAGGCCGAAAGGCGUAGUCGAUGCACAUACGGUUGAAAUUCCGUAGCCACCUUAUCGAUCAAAGCUGACACAUGGAGAUAGCCGAACCCGGGCGUUGGUUGACCCGGGCGAAAGGGACCGAACUACAGUAGGGAAGUCGGCGAUGCUCUGUGGCGAGAAAAGGCGAAGAUAGGGUGCCCGUACCGCAAACCGACACAGGUAGAUGAGGAGAGAAUCCUAAGGCCAACGGGAGAAGGGUUGUUAAGGAACUCGGCAAGUUGACCCCGUAACUUCGGAAUAAGGGGUGCUCAUGAAAGUGAGCCGCAGAGAAUAGGCCCAGGCAACUGUUUACCAAAAACACAGGUUUGUGCUAAAUCGAAAGAUGACGUAUACGAGCUGACGCCUGCCCGGUGCUGGAAGGUUAAAAGGAGAUGUGCAAGCAUUGAAUUGAAGCCCCAGUGAACGGCGGCCGUAACUAUAACGGUCCUAAGGUAGCGAAAUUCCUUGUCAGGUAAGUUCUGACCCGCACGAAUGGCGUAAUGAUUUGGGCACUGUCUCAACAGCCCGCCCGGCGAAAUUGUAGUACUGGUGAAGAUGCCAGUUACCCGCAACUAGACGGAAAGACCCCAUGGAGCUUUACUGCAGCUUAAUACUGAGAUUCGGUAAUUCAUGUACAGGAUAGGUGGGAGACUUAGAAGCAGAGUCGUUAGGCGCUGUGGAGUCACCCUUGGGAUACCACCCUUGGAUUGCUGGGUUUCUAACCUGCGGCCAUGAAUCUGGUCGGGGGACACUGUUAGGCGGGCAGUUUGACUGGGGCGGUCGCCUCCUAAAGUGUAGCGGAGGCGCUCAAAGCUUGGCUCAGCAUGGAUGGAAAUCAUGCAAUGAGUGUAAACGUAUAAGCCAAGUUGACUGCGAGACCGACGGGUCGAGCAGGUACGAAAGUAGGAGUUAGUGAUCCGGUGGUAUGUGAGUGGAAAUGCCAUCGCUCAACGGAUAAAA